rnacentral:siRNA from 1 species
AUCGUCAAUCAAGUUAUGGUGUUA